UUGUAGCAAUACAACUGGCGCACGGCGCACGGGUGCGUAACACGUGGGUAACCUGCCCUUUGGUGGGGAAUAACUCCGCGAAAGCGGAGCUAAUUCCGCAUAAGAUCCGCAAGGAUGAAAGCCGUAAGGCGCCGAUGGAGGGGCCCGCGCCCGAUUAGCUAGUUGGUAGGGUAAUGGCCUACCAAGGCUUUGAUCGGUAGCUGGUCUGAGAGGAUGAUCAGCCACACUGGAACUGAGACACGGUCCAGACUCCUACGGGAGGCAGCAGUGGGGAAUCUUGCACAAUGGGCGAAAGCCUGAUGCAGCGACGCCGCGUGGGGGAUGAAGCAUUUCGGUGUGUAAACCCCUUUCGAUCCGGACGAAACCCCGCAAGGGAUUGACGGUACGGAUAUAAGAAGCCCCGGCUAACUACGUGCCAGCAGCCGCGGUAAGACGUAGGGGGCCAGCGUUGUUCGGAAUUACUGGGUGUAAAGGGUUCGUAGGCGGUGCGGCAAGUUGGGAGUGAAAUCUCUGGGCUUAACCCAGAGGCUGCUUCCAAAACUGCUGUGCUUGAGUGUGGGAGAGGCGCGUGGAAUUGCAGGUGUAGCGGUGAAAUGCGUAGAUAUCUGCAGGAACACCCGUGGCAAAAGCGGCGCGCUGGACCACUACUGACGCUGAGGAACGAAAGCUAGGGGAGCAAACAGGAUUAGAUACCCUGGUAGUCCUAGCCCUAAACGAUCAGGACUUGGGGUGCCACCCGUUCGGGUGUCGUCCCGGAGCUAACGCGUUAAGUCCUGCACCUGGGGAGUACGGUCGCAAGACUGAAACUC
rnacentral:rRNA from 1 species